CGAUCCCAUCAUGUUGAAACACCGGUUUCCGUAAGAUCACCGAAGUUAAGCAACGUCAAGCUUGAAAUUACCUAGAUAGGUGACCACUUGGGAAUACCAGGUGCUGCAAG